GAGUGGCCUUUUAUUGGGGAACAAGAAAUUCAAGGGAAAAUUCCAUCCGAUGAAGGUGGAGGGGGACAGCAUUCCAAGGUCAGGGUCAGUGAUUGGUCUCAGGGUCAAUGGUCGGUCACACCCCCACAGGGAUGGGCUCUCCCACCUAAAAAGGGUGGGGAUUAGUUCUGACACAGCUUGGCCGGAAAGCCUCACACCCAGGCAGGGAGGUGCCCAAUCACGUGCGAGAACGGCUUCCCACACAUUGAGAUAACACUGAGGUGGUGAAGACAACUGCUCCUUUCUAUCGUCUGGAAGAGAGUGCAUGAAUCUGGGAUGGCUCACUUCUUGACAGGCUGAUAGAUGUCAAGGGCUCACUCCAUUUUCCUAGAUGAGUCAUUUUAUGUGUUGUUCAGUGAGCUUUUUCCUGGGGACAUGUUAGUUUUUUGACAAAGGUCAUGUGUGUGUGCAUUCUGCAGUCUCUGUACUAGUUUAGAGAGUUUACUUCCCCUUUUAUACUCCUGGUAGAGUGCCCAGUGACUUCUCUCUUUUUCUCUAGGUAGAUCUCACUGUCUUCUUAUUUAUUAUCAGUUUCAGAGAACCAACUUUUGGGAUGCUUGACUUUCUCACUGCACCUUUGUUUUCUACCUGGUUUGGUUUUGCUCUCAUUUUCUCAGCCCCUGCCUUCUGCUUCCUUCCGUUCAUUCUGAUGUGCGUCACUAAUUUUUAAGCGGAAUACUUAGCUUGUUAACUUAUAGCUCUUUCUUCUUUAUGAAAGUAGUUAUGGAUGCAUUUCUUUAAAACACCACAAG
rnacentral:lncRNA from 1 species